CACGUGACUUGCUUUGGCCCUGGAACCAGGCGUGGAAGCUCUGCGUGCGCUUGAGGCGGAAGCUUCAAGCGCUGUUGCUGGUUUCCUCCAGCUCUUUUGCUUUUUUUUCUUCUUUUUUCUCCUGCCAGGAUUAGGGCUUGUCCUAAAUAAGGGCUUUUCCUCAGCGUGGACGCUGCUCUGAAGACGCAGGGAAUAGGAAGGAGCCUGUUGCCAGCAGCAGGAACCUGUGGCGUGACCACGAAAGGAACCUUUGUGGUUGUAAGCCACUGAGGACUCCGUAAUACAAGGACAGCGGAUGUCACACUUCUCAUUUAACACACUUUUGAAUGGGGCUAGAGUAUCCGAUGGUUUCGCUGGAAAGAGAUUAAUAGUGACUCACCUCGACGUAGCACACGUAUUCAACAUUUUUAGGUUUCACAUAUAAGUAAGAUCAGGAAGCAUUUUUCAUAAUAACAAAAAACUGGAAACAUUUCAAUGCCCAUCAACUGGUGAAUUGAUCAACAAGAUGUGGAGUAUCCAUGCAGUGAAAUACUACUCAGCAAGAAAAAGGUUGGUGUAUUUCUAAGUGUGAUUCCUGGGCCACCUGCAAGAGACCCACCUUUUAAAAAUCAACUCCUGUGUUUCAAUCUGUCAAUAACAGAUUCCCGAGCCGCACUGAAAUUCACAAAUCAGAAUGAUUUUUUGAUAUCUUCAGGCUCAACUGGUUCACCUGACUUGUUCUGAUUUAUGUCUACACUUCAAGGUUAUUGACUAACAAACAGGUCAAGGCAGCCGCACAAAGUUCUGGUCAACCCAGAGGUGUCAGGAAAAUA